rnacentral:rRNA from 1 species
GAUGAACGCUGGCGGCGUGCCUAAUACAUGCAAGUCGAGCGAAUGGAUUGAGAGCUUGCUCUUAUGAAGUUAGCGGCGGACGGGUGAGUAACACGUGGGUAACCUGCCCAUAAGACUAGGAUAACUCCGGGAAACCGGGGCUAAUACCGGAUAACAUUUUGAACCGCAUGGUUCGAAAUUGAAAGGCGGCUUAGGCUGUCACUUAUGGAUGGACCCGCGUCGCAUUAGCUAGUUGGUGAGGUAACGGCCAACCAAGGCAACGAUGCGUAGCCGACCUGAGAGGGUAAUCGGCCACACUGGGACUGAGACACGGCCCAGACUCCUACGGGAGGCAGCAGUAGGGAAUCUUCCGCAAUGGACGAAAGUCUGACGGAGCAACGCCGCGUGAGUGAUGAAGGCUUUCGGGUCGUAAAACUCUGUUGUUAGGGAAGAACAAGUGCUAGUUGAAUAAGCUGGCACCUUGACGGUACCUAACCAGAAAGCCACGGCUAACUACGUGCCAGCAGCCGCCGUAA